GUCCAUGCCGUAAACGAUGAGUGUUAAAUAUUGGAAAAUUUUUCAGUGUAUGAGCUAACGCGUUAAACACUCCGCCUGGGGAGUACGAUCGCAAGAUUGAAACUUAAAGGAAUUGACGGGAGCUAGCACAAACGGUGGAGCAUGUGGUUUAAUGCGAUAACACGCGCAAAACCUUACCAGUUCUUGACAUAUAAUAUAUUUUAAAGUUAUUUUAAAAUUUAGUUAUACAGGUGUUGCAUGGCUGCCGU
rnacentral:rRNA from 1 species